CUGUGACAUGUCAAAGUGUCUGCUGUGAGAAAGUCCUACUGCAUGCAUCUUCCCUGAAGCAUGACUGUUGUGAAAAGAUGAGAUGAAAAGGAAAACCAGGCAGAUCGUGUGGUGGCACUCAGGAGCAGCAGCUCUUGCAGCAGGUUGCAUCAGUCUCUUCAGAUCAGGCCUCUGCAGCUGUGAACAGCACCACCCCCCACCCGCAGCACUCUGGGUGCCUAACAAGGUGAAACCACCGUCACAUGUCAGUGUGUGAGGUGACAACUGAGCUCAUAUUUACCAACAGCCAAGGACACAUAUCGCAGUCUGCUCAGAUAUCAGGGAAUGUUACGCAUUAGGAGAUUUACAGCACCGCAUCAGAUGAAACUGCCUCAACCUUGGCCAAAAGAUAAGCCUGCUAGUUAAUAUGUAGUCUCUCUUGCCAGACCUAUCUCCACAGCACUGGAGUAGUUAAUAUGAAACUAAGGAUACAAGGUAGAGCAGCCCUUGACGCAAACUGUACAGUAACCAGACAAACCAGUGUUGUUCAA